rnacentral:rRNA from 1 species
AUUGAACGCUGGCGGCAGGCCUAACACAUGCAAGUCGAGCGGAUGAAGGGAGCUUGCUCCUGGAUUCAGCGGCGGACGGGUGAGUAAUGCCUAGGAAUCUGCCUGGUAGUGGGGGAUAACGUCCGGAAACGGGCGCUAAUACCGCAUACGUCCUGAGGGAGAAAGUGGGGGAUCUUCGGACCUCACGCUAUCAGAUGAGCCUAGGUCGGAUUAGCUAGUUGGUGGGGUAAAGGCCUACCAAGGCGACGAUCCGUAACUGGUCUGAGAGGAUGAUCAGUCACCAUGGAACUGAGACACGGUCCAGAGUACUACGGGAGGCAGCAGUGGGGAAUAUUGGACAAUGGGCGAAAGCCUGAUCCAGCCAUGCCGCGUGUGUGAAGAAGGUCUUCGGAUUGUAAAGCACUUUAAGUUGGGAGGAAGGGCAGUAAGUUAAUACCUUGCUGUUUUGACGUUACCAACAGAAUAAGCACCGGCUAACUUCGUG